AAGACUUAGAAAAGAUUACACAUCAACCAGUUCCUUACCUGAAGGAAAUACUGAAGGACAUAUGCAAUUACAAUGCCAAGAAUCCUCACAAAAACAUGUGGGAGCUGAAACCAGAGUAUCGACAUUACAAAGAUUCCAAAUCCGGUUCCUGCCCCUAAAAACGUCGUCCGUAUUUAUUCCAACGUAUUUUAUAUGGAUCGAGGAAUUCGCCGACCGCUUUUCUUUAUAACAACGCUCGAUUAUACGAAUAAAACAAUGUUUAAAUAAUUAAAAAAAA